AUUGAACGCUGGCGGCAUGCCUUACACAUGCAAGUCGAACGGCAGCACGGGAGCAAUCCUGGUGGCGAGUGGCGAACGGGUGAGUAAUAUAUCGGAACGUGCCCAGUCGUGGGGGAUAACGUAGCGAAAGCUACGCUAAUACCGCAUACGAUCUACGGAUGAAAGCGGGGGAUCGCAAGACCUCGCGCGAUUGGAGCGGCCGAUAUCAGAUUAGCUAGUUGGUGGGGUAAAAGCUCACCAAGGCGACGAUCUGUAGCUGGUCUGAGAGGAUGGCCGGCCACAAGGGCACUGAGAGACGGGCCCUACUCCUACGGGAGGCAGCAGUGGGGGAUUUUGGACAAUGGGCGAAAGCCUGAUCCAGCGACGCCGCGUGGAGGACGAAGCCCUUCGGGGUGUAAACUCCUUUUCUCAGGGAAAAGGAUGAUGGUACCUGAGGAAUAAGCCCCGGCUAACUACGUG
rnacentral:rRNA from 1 species